AUUAAACGCUGGCGGCAUGCCUUACACAUGCAAGUCGAACGGCAGCACGGGGGCAACCCUGGUGGCGAGUGGCGGACGGGUGAGUAAUGCAUCGGAACGUGCCCUGAAGUGGGGGGAUAACGCAGCGAAAGCUACGCUAAUACCGCAUAUUCUGUGAGCAGGAAAGCAGGGGAUCGCAAGACCUUGCGCUUUGGGAGCGGCCGAUGUCGGAUUAGCUAGUUGGUGGGGUAAAGGCCUACCAAGGCGACGAUCCGUAGCGGGUCUGAGAGGAUGAUCCGCCACACUGGGACUGAGACACGGCCCAGACUCCUACGGGAGGCAGCAGUGGGGAAUUUUGGACAAUGGGCGGAAGCCUGAUCCAGCCAUGCCGCGUGAGUGAAGAAGGCCUCGGUGUAAGCUCUUCGGU
rnacentral:rRNA from 1 species